rnacentral:rRNA from 1 species
UUAGCUAGUUGGUAGGGUAAAAGCCUACCAAGGCGACGAUCGGUAGCUGGUCUGAGAGGAUGGACAUCAGCCACACUGGGAGACUGAGACACGGCCCAGACUCCUACGGGAGGCAAGCAGUGGGGAAUUUUCCGCAAUGGGGCGAAAGCCUGACGGAGCAAGACCGCGUGAGGGAGGAAGGCUCUUGGGUUGUAAACCUCUUUUCUCUGGGAAGAAGCUCUGACGGUACCAGAGGAAUCAGCAUCGGCUAACUCCGUGCCAGCAGCCGCGGUAAUACGGAGGAUGCAAGCGUUAUCCGGAAUUAUUGGGCGUAAAGCGUCCGUAGGUGGCUGUUCAAGUCUGCCGUUAAAACCAGUAGCUUAACUACUGAAUAGCGGUGGAAACUGAAUAGCUAGAGUGUGGUAGGGGUAGAGGGAAUUCCCAGUGUAGCGGUGAAAUGCGUAGAGAUUGGGAAGAACACCGGUGGCGAAAGCGCUCUGCUGGACCACAACUGACACUCACAGGACGAAAGCUAGGGGAGCGAAAGGGAUUAGAUACCCCUGUAGUCCUAGCCGUAAACGAUGGAUACUAGGUGUUGUGAGUAUCGACCCUCACAGUGCCGGAGCCAACGCGUUAAGUAUCCCGCCUGGGGAGUACGCACGCAAGUGUGAAACUCAAAGGAAUUGACGGGGGCCCGCACAAGCGGUGGAGUAUGUGGUUUAAUUCGAUGCAACGCGAAGAACCUUACCAGGACUUGACAUGUCGGGAAUCCUCUUGAAAGGGAGGAGUGCCUUCGGGAGCGCGAACACAGGUGGUGCAUGGCUGUUGUCAGCUCGUGUCGUGAGAUGUUGGGUUAAGUCCCGCAACGAGCGCAACCCUCGUUUUUAGUUGCCAGCAUUAAGUUGGGCACUCUAAAGAGACUGCCGGUGACAAACCGGAGGAAGGUGGGGAUGACGUCAAGUCAGCAUGCCCCUUACGUCCUGGGCUACACACGUACUACAAUGCGACGGACAAAGAGCAGCUAAACAGCGAUGUCUUGCUAAUCUCGUAAACCGUGGCUCAGUUCAGAUUGUAGGCUGCAACUCGC